AAAACAUCAAACAGUCGCAGAAAAAGUGAUCAGACCACCCUUGUUUUCUUCAAUUUCUUGUUCAUUUUAAUGCCUGGUCCAACUAAAGGUCCAUUUGUUUGGACAAAUAUAAUGAGAACAAC